AGUGAACGCUGGCGGUAGGCCUAACACAUGCAAGUCGAACGGCAGCACAGUAAGAGCUUGCUCUUACGAGUGGCGAGUGGCGGACGGGUGAGGAAUACAUCGGAAUCUACUUUUUCGUGGGGGGUAACGUAGGGAAACUUACGCUAAUACCGCAUACGACCUACGGGUGAAAGCAGGGGAUCUUCGGACCUUGCGCGAUUGAAUGAGCCGAUGUCGGAUUAGCUAGUUGGCGGGGUAAAGGCCCACCAAGGCGACGAUCCGUAGCUGGUCUGAGAGGAUGAUCAGCCACACUGGAACUGAGACACGGUCCAGACUCCUACGGGAGGCAGCAGUGGGGAAUAUUGGACAAUGGGCGCAAGCCUGAUCCAGCCAUACCGCGUGGGUGAAGAAGGCCUUCGGGUUGUAAAGCCCUUUUGUUGGGAAAGAAAAGCAGCAGGUUAAUACCCCGCUGUUCUGACGGUACCCAAAGAAUAAGCACCGGCUAACUUCGUG
rnacentral:rRNA from 1 species